AUAUAGGAGUGAUAUGCUAUUCAUUUUUAAAUAUCUGGUUUCUUAAUAAAUUAAUUUAAUUAAGAUAAUGUUUAGGUUAUUUUAUAAUUUUAUUUUUUUUAAUAACAUUUAUUAAUAAUAUAGGGGAUAAGCUCUUUAUUAAUUCUAUAAUCAGUUUUUAUUUUAUAAUUUUAGUAGGCUUUACAACGGCCAUCAUUAAUUUCGUUACAGUUUAUAUUAUAAUGUUAUUUAUUUAUUUUUGAUUUAGGUUUUUAUUAAGAUUUAAUAUUUAAUUUUAAAGUUUUAGUAAUAAUGAUUGAAUUAGUAGUUUUGAAAAUUUAAAUUUAG
rnacentral:rRNA from 1 species